UAAACUCAAGUAUACAAAACUUACAGCAAAGAAAAUCAGUAUCCGAAUUCGAACACACAUAUGCAAUUUGAUCCGAUAACAUUAUGAGAGCAAAUUUUGAGAUAGAUGGGCCACAAAAGUUUCAUGAGGACUGCAUCAUAAAGUGAAGUUACAAAUCCCCUGAAAGAAAAAAAAAAGGUGAAGUUACAAAUACAGGGCGCCGGUAGAAUUGAAACACACACACCGACACGCGACAAACACCGACGCAUGAGGUGUGGGAGCCACUGCAUGAACAGCAACCCCGCUUAUUCAGCACGCGGAAGAUAGCACGCAGAGAAAAUCACGCACAGGCGAGCACGAGACCGGGCCCACGUCCCAGCCUCUCUCGCUUAUGGAACACACGUAAGCACACGCACGCCGGCGGCCCGCGCGUCGGCGACGAUCUAGCCGAAGUGGUGGUGCUUCUUCUCGCCGCUGGCCUCCUUGGCCUCCUUGUGGUCCUGCUUCUUCUCGUGGUGCUCGUGGAAGACGAAGCCGCCGGCACCGACGGCCGCGGCGGCGGCCAGCUCCUCCUCGAUCUUGUGCUUGUGCGCGUGUUCCGGGUCCUUCUUCGCCUCGUGCUUCUCGUACUGCACGUGGACAAGCAGUUCAUUAGCCAAGCCCGGAAAGACAUGAACUACGUAUAUAUCUAUAUACGCGUAUGGGUAAAUAGUUACGAUGAGAGAGAGAGAGCGUACGAGGGCGAAGGCUCCGGCGGCGACGGCGCCCAUCUCGCCGAGGUGCUCCUUGUGCUUGUGGUGCUUCUCCUCCUUGGUGAUCCGCUCGUACUCGCCCUCGUUGCCGGUGCCGGUCACCACCGUCUCGGUCGAGUACCCGUACACGUCGGCGCCGCCAUCAGCGGCGGGCUGGAAGUCCUCGCCCUCCUUCUUGUGGUGGAACAGGUGGUGGUGGUGCUUCUCCUCCGCCAUGGCCGCCGGCUGAUCGAUUAACUAGCUUGUAUGUGUGCGUGUAUGUGACAGUGGGACAGCUUCUUAUCUGCUUGGUCUGUGUAGGCUUCCUACUGGCCGGGUUUUAUAGGCUGAGGCGACUGUUGGAAUGGACGGUGGAACUAACCGUUCCGUUCCACGGGUUAUGGAUACUGGAUCCAUCAAAUAUACAGUACGUAUGCAUACGAUUGUGAUCUGCUUUAUGUACGUGUCCCGGAGUCAUUGGAGGCUUGGAGCCCAAGCACUCAGGCAACCACAGGACAGGGGGCCACGUUCUGAUGGCCAACGGUGCAGCGCCCCACCACCUUCUUGGCACUUGGCAGAGUUGCAGCUUGGGGUAGCUUACAUGUGAGUAACAAAAGUUUAGAGAAGUGUCGGCAUGCACGGAUUGGCUGACGGUGAUGUGGCACCGCGCACGCCUUUCCCUGCUCCCCGCGUCCACUAUCCAGCAACCUUUACUCGUAUGUAAUUACGUGUGCGCAUUAUUACUUUUUCUUUUUUGAGAAGUACUCCGUAGUACUAUUUGUGAAAAGUAAAAACGAGAGAGAGGAUAAAAAUGAUGGAACCGUUGCUUUCAUUGAUGGAUUGGGAGUAUAUAUACCCCUGAUACAAGGCAGUUACAAAGAGGCAGUUGCUACUAGUAGCAACCGACAUAGCGGGGAUUAACCCUUUAAUUAAUCUAAUUAAUUUAUUUCUAACACUCCCCCUAAUCACUGCUUGUCUUGGAUAUUUAUUAUCUUGAUAAAGACUCCUCUUUGUAUGUGUCUUUAAGAAUGUCCAUCAUCUUCGUGAAAGCCUUUGUAUAAUCUUGAAAGUCUUCCCAAAAAACCCUGUGGGAAAAAAUAUGAGGAGAAUAGUGUAGGUAUGUUGCUAAAACUCCUUUAAACCCGGUGGGAAAAUAAUAAGGAGAAAAUAAUGCAACAUAUAAUGAUUAUUGUCUCUUGAUAACUCAAUCGAGAAAACCUUUGAAGAAGGAGAAAAAUCAAUUGUGAGUUUAGAGAACAAUUAAUAUGUCUUUAAUACUUUCUUUAAAAAAACCCAAUAGGGAAAAUAGAAAGUAUGGCAUAUGAUUUUGAUAAUAUAUUGCCUCAUUAAAAACCUUUUUAUGAGAAAACUGAUGCAAAACUCAUAAAGGAAAAGAGUACAAUUAUUAUCUGAUGAUAAUUAAUGGGUUAUGAGUCUAGGAAUUUCUCCCCCUGAAAUUUGCAAAUCUCGAAAACGUCUCAUACCAAUUCCAUGAAUAUAUUUCUGGAAUGUUGAAUUUGGUAAAGACUUUGUGAACAAAUCUGCUAGAUUGUCGCAUGAUUUGGUUUGCAAAAUAUCAAUUUCUCCAUCCUUUUGUAAUGCAUGAGGAUAGAAUAACUUAGGAGAAAUGUGUUUUGUGAUAUUACUUUUCACAUAACCCAUUUGCAUUUGAGCAAUGCAGGCUGCAUUAUCUUCAUAUAUAAUAGUUGGUGAUCC
rnacentral:lncRNA from 1 species